rnacentral:rRNA from 1 species
AGGACGAACGCUGGCGGCGUGCUUAACACAUGCAAGUCGAACGAGGUGCUUCGGCAUUGAGUGGCGAACGGGUGAGUAACACGUGAGCAACCUGCCCUUGGCUCUGGGAUAGCCUCCGGAAACGGGGAUUAAUACCGGACAUGACCUGCGGUCGCAUGAUCGCGGGUGGAAAGUUUUUCGGCCAGGGAGGGGCUCGCGGCCUAUCAGCUUGUUGGGGGGGUAACGCCCACCAAGGCGACGACGGGUA